GUGGGAUGGAAACCAGUUGCUCGACUGGUUCACUCUUUUCUUCAUUUUCUCUUUGAUCUAAUUUAUCAAUGGAUAAAGAGUCUUCAUAUUGAUUAUUUUGUGUGAAAAUCAAAAAGCAGUGUCGGACAAGUUGUUGAUCGUCAUGCAUCUCUCUGACUCCAUUUCUUAUCAAAAAUCAGACUAGUAGAUGAUAAGUUAAGACUACUACUCUCAGAGCAUUAAGUCCAAGUCGUUCGAGUAUGGUAU
rnacentral:lncRNA from 1 species